UGGGGAAUAUUGCACAAUCGGCGCAAGCCUGAUGCAGCCAUGCCGCGUGUAUGAAGAAGGCCUUCGGGUUGUAAAGUACUUUCAGCGGGGAGGAAGGGAGUAAAGUUAAUACCUUUGCUCAUUGACGUUACCCGCAGAAGAAGCACCGGCUAACUACGUGCCAGCAGCCGCGGUAAUACGUAGGUGGCAAGCGUUGUCCGGAUUUAUUGGGCGUAAAGCGAGCGCAGGCGGUUUCUUAAGUCUGAUGUGAAAGCCCCCGGCUCAACCGGGGAGGGUCAUUGGAAACUGGGAUAGUUGAGUGCAGAAGAGGAGAGUGGAAUUCCAUGUGUAUCGGUGAAAUGCGUAGAUAUAUGGAAGAACACCAGUGUCGAAGGCGGCUCUCUAGUCUGUAACUGACGCUGAGGCUCGAAAGCGUGUGGAGCAAACAGG
rnacentral:rRNA from 1 species